AAAGAGCAGAGUCAUCUGUCUGCUGGUCUGAGCCACGGAGGCUCAGGUGCUGGGCUCCAGCUUCACGGUCCCCGCGGUGGGGGGUCAGGCCCCUGCUGCGUGGGGGCUUGGGGGGCGCACAGGCCUGCCUUAUCUGCUUACGUGUGGAGAAACAGCCAGACCCAGACUGAAGGACCGGACUUCACGGAUCGGAAACACAACUGAGGCACAGAAUUGUUAAGUGAUUUGAUGAAGAUCACACAGCUGUUAGCACCAGGGCAGCAGUGGGGUCACAGGCAAAAGAAGAUUCUAGAGACAGUCUAUGGAGAGAGGCUGCAGCGUCCUGCAGUAACUGAAGUUUGAAAUGAUGACCUUGACCUAGAGGCUGGGGGUGAGGACGGAGCACCAAGGAUAGAAGCAGGAGACCCUGCAGAGGGUGGCUUGAAGCCGGCCAGAACUGCCGCCCCAGCGUCUCACAGUUCCGUCUCAAUGACACACGGGCGUGGACGGCCACCUGCUUCCAGGGCCCCGAAGCUGCCUGCACACGGCAGGCCCGCUGGCCGAGCGGCCGCUCCUGGCCCCCGGGAGAAGCAGUCUGCUCCUUGGUCGGGCAGACCUGGGGUAGAGACCUGACCCUGCUACUGGCUGGCUGGAGAAGUCAAUUUGCCUCUCUCUGCCCCCGUUUCCUCAUCUGCCAAAUGAUACCGAAUCCUACUUCUGCAAGACCUUUAUGAGGACUCAGAAAAGGAUGGAGAAACCACAGCCUGCCUCCGCUUACCUGUGUCGAGUCCCGGCAGGCUCUGAAGUCCUCCCGGUCCAUUCACGGUAAUGUCUCAAGGGCCCCCAGACCUGCCCCUUCCCUCCAGGAGGCCCAUACCUGGAUGCUCUCAAAAACGUGCUCAAAGGCCCUGGGGAUGAUGCCUCUCUGUGAGGACGGGUCCGGCAGGCCCUGCAUGGUGAAGGACUUCCCGCUGCCCGUCUGGCCAUAGGCGAAAAUGGUGCCAUUGUAGCCCUCAGUGACACCCUGCGUGGGAGAACCAAAGCCCGGUGCUCAGCCGGCCGAGCCCAGCUGGACUCGGCCGUCUCUAACUCACAGACUCAGGGCCCCUCCCAGGAUGGCACUGGGCUGGCUGUGCGGUACAGAGAUAAGUAAGUCACAGUUCUGUCCUCUAGGUGUCCACCUCCUGGUGGGGGACACUGUCCGUGUGUGGAGUUAAGGGCUUGUGCGGUGGAGCCUGGCCUCUCUUUCAGGGGUUCAAAUCACCCUUUUCCUGAGUGUGUGCCGGGGGAGCUGGUCUUACCCAGGCACACUGAGCCUCAGUUCCCCCUCAGGAUCAGAACAGCACCUCCUUCUAAGCCUGUAGUGAGGUUUACACGCAAACUAUUUCCUGCACUGGCACACAGAGGGCUCACGUACAGGGGCGCUCACUGAACGUCUGCCUGAAACGUGGCGGAGACGGACCUGUACAAGCGACCCUCACGCCAGGCAAGCGGAGGAAGAGGAAGGCAUUCCAGGUGGAGGGGGUGCGGAGAGGUAAGAGUCUGAGAGCAGGUGGAGCUGGGGCGAGGGGGACGGAAGAAAGGAAGCAAAGCGGCGGCAACCCUGAAAUCGGUCUUCACUCACUGACACGUCUGUUCAUUCCACGGCGCUCCGGCUGGGGACACGGCGGUGAUCGAGGCGGAACCCCAGUCCCUGCCCUCACAGAGCUCAUGAGGUCACCGAUUCUAGAACUCAGCACGGGGCAGUGGAAUCCUGUGUCAGAACGUGGGCCCAGAGAGCUGCUCCCAGGCCCCGAGGGCCCACCUGGCAUCCACACCCAGUGACCCACAAAGACCCAUCCUGUGGGCCAACGUGGGGCUUGGGAUCCCCAGGGACUGCUGGUGAAGGAACCAGAAAUCAUGAUUCACGGCUUCUCUGACGGCCAGGCCUCAUUCUUCUGGGCGGAACCGGAUGAGCCCCUUUCGUCUGUCCAAGGAAACCCUAACCACUGUGUGGGUUCCUGCACCUCCACAGAGCUCCAGGGGACUGCACACAGGGACCAGCCCCCUGUGGUGGGGCAGAGGCAAUGGCAGACCCACCGCCCGGCCAGGAGCCACCGCCGGGCUCCUCAGAGCUGGGGACACAUGCAGGGUCCACAUGGUGCGGGGCCCAGAGUAUCAGCGUCACCCAAGCCCGGGGAAGAUAUUCUACACAAAAACAUGUAUCGCUUCGCUGUCUGGUAGGGUGGCCACCAGCCACACUAGCAAUGGGCCCAGUGCGACUGAGGAACUGAAUUUAUUUUAUUUUAGUUAAUUUACAUUUCACAGAAGCAAUAUAAAAUAUUUUUCCAUUAAACAGAACCUUAUUUUUUGUUCCAUUUCGUUUGAACUGUCGACACUUUAGCAUCCGCAACAUGAUACGAUGUAAGACACACAUCUGAUUGCAAAGACUUCGCAUGACGGAAGAAUGUCAACUAUCUCUCACUGAUAUCAAAGAAUGACUACACGUUACCAGUAUGUUUUCUUGAAAUAAUGUUCCGGAUAUACUGGGUUCAAUAAAAAUCUCUUAUUAAAACUA